CCGCCCGGUUUACUUUGACUUGCAAAGCCCAAACCCUAGUCUCUCAUAUACGCAGAUCAGUUGGGAACUCCACGAUCCCAAUCUCUCUCUCUUGUUUUUGAUCUUUGUCUCUCACUUUGUUUGUUUGCUUCUUGUUCGCUCUCUCUCCCAAAUCUUAACCAUCGACUCAUCUCCGUGACGCGGACAAGCGAAACCAGAGGAGGUUCUUUGCUCACAGUCAUUCUCUGCUUUGGUUGGUGGAGAAGAAGCAAAAGGAAAUGUCAUUCUUGAAACACUUUUGGGGUGACAUAAAGUCUUGUCUUUUCGUAUAUGAGUUGCAUGGAUUUGCAUCCUUUUCAGACAUCUUCAGCUACACAGCUUGCAGACAGUUAUUGCAAAUGUUAUCGGCCAUAGUCUUCUUUCACGUUUCUGAAUACCUUCUAGCCAUUGCCAUUCAUGGAAGAUCAAAUGUAUCUCUCAGUUCCCUUUUGGUCAGCAAAAGCUAUCUUCUUGCAAUGAUCUGUUCAUUGCUGGAGUAUUUUCUUGAAAUUUAUUUUUUCCCUGGGUUGAAGGCAUACUGGUGGAUAAGCAACUUUGGCCUUGGAAUGGUUGUAAUUGGAGAAAUCAUACGAAAGAUAGCAAUUAUAACAGCUGGUCGGUCCUUCACUCAUCGUAUUAAGAUUUAUCAUGAGGAGCAUCACAAGUUGGUGACUCAUGGAGUCUAUAAAUUUGUCCGCCAUCCAGGAUACUGUGGUUUUUUCAUUUGGUCAGUAGGCACUCAGAUAAUGCUUUGUAAUCCGUUGUCAACAAUUGCAUUUGCUAUUGUUGUUUGGAGCUUCUUUUCAAAAAGGAUACCAUAUGAGGAGUACUUUUUGAGGCAGUUUUUUGGGCCACAAUAUGACGAAUAUGCCCGUUUGGUUCCUUCUGGUGUUCCAUUUGUGAAGUAAUGAUUUAUGCAUUUGUGAAUGAGGCUUCCUCACUUUUGUUAUAUCCAUCUCUCUCCAUCAAGACAGCUUUACAAUAGAUUUCAUCAAGGCAUUCCUGGCUUAUAGCUUCACAAUAGUUUUCAUGAAAACAUCCAGGCUUAUUUGAUGUUGAACAAAUUUUAAGGCUGUUCGGAGUGACUCAAACUGAUCUUCUUGGUACAUGGAAUAUCAACUAGAUUUAUCCCAAGCCAUUGUAAUACUCAACUGAGUGUUUGUAGAGAGAGACAGAGGAAAGAGAGGUGAUGAUGGUGGUGGUUGUCGACAAUGGCGAUGGUGGCGGCGGUUGUCGGCAAUGGCGAUGGUGGCAGUGGUUGUCGACGGCGAGGAGGUGGCAGCGGCAAUGACCAUGUUGGGGAGGAGGUGGGUGGAGGAGAUGGGUGAUACAGAUGAUUAGUUAGAAUAUAUAUAUAUAUAUAUAUAUAUAUAUAUAUAUAUAUAUAUAAACAGUGCUACGGUAGAGAAAGUGAUUUCUAUAAACAGUGUAAAAAAUAGAGAAAGUGAGGAUUUCUCACUUCCUCUUCUCUUCACAAAAUUAGAAAGUACUUUCUUAAAACAAAAAAGAAAAGUAUUUUAUUAAACACAAAUUUUACUUUUGAUUCUCAAUUUUAGGAAUUGACAGCAGAAAUCAGGAAUCAUUCCUGUUAGUAAACAGGCCCUUAGGGUGUGACUUGGUCCAUCUAAAUUCCAUUUCAUCACUUAUUUCCUUCAUCACCAUCUUUCUUAGUUUUCUAUGUACACACAGAACAAGAACAGAGUCCGUAGUUCUUAUAAUAUUUUUCUAGUGUACAUUUUUUUCCUCUCUUGGUAAGGAGUUCGCAUUAUAUCUUGUAA